GCUGGGCGUGGUGGCGCAUGCCUGUAAUCCCAGCUACUUGGUAGGCUGAGGCAGGAGAAUUGCUUGAACCCAGGAGGCGGAGGUUGCAGUGAGGUGAGAUCGUGCCACUGCACUCCAGCCUGGGUAACAGAGUGAGACUCUGUCUCAA
rnacentral:SRP_RNA from 2 species